UACGAAGGGGCUAGCGUUGUUCGGAAUCACUGGGCGUAAAGCGCACGUAGGCGGAUCUUUAAGUCAGGGUGAAAUCCCGAGGCUCAACCUCGGAACUGCCUUUGAUACUGGGGAUCUCGAGUCCGGGAGAGGUGAGUGGAACUGCGAGUGUAGAGGUGAAAUUCGUAGAUAUUCGCAAGAACACCAGUGGCGAAGGCGGCUCACUGGCCCGGAACUGACGCUGAGGUGCGAAAGCGUGGGAGCAACAGG
rnacentral:rRNA from 1 species